AGGAUUCAGAGGCGGAAGAGGUGGAGGAGGAGGAUUCAGAGGGAGAGGAUAUUAAAAAUGGAGCCACGAGAGUCUUCUUGCUGCCUUACCAUGUGAUCUGCAGAAAUGAAGAACAAGAUAAAUUUUCUAGUGGACCCUGAAAAAUUGUUUAUAAAGGACUUGAAACUGUAAAAUGACAGUGACUAUUUAUCAACAUACAAGGACAAUAUAACCUCUGUUGAAGAACUGAAGACUGCUCAGAGUAUACUUGAACUUUUUUACUAAGGCAAAUUAAUACUUAAACUGUUUCUUUCUUACAAACUAUUUUUUAUUAAUGCUYGACUUCAUGUUAGAGUUGGGAGUAAACAGUCCAUUGGUUCUUUUUUAUUAUCUCCACAGAUUCUUUAAAUCUGUGAAUCUGUUACCAAUGUGUUACUGAUCCCUUGUCCUCAUCCUGUCUUUAUGUUUAAUCCACUGGAUUGCUGUACAGUGAACAUACCAUUUAAACAAUCUUUGCAACCUUCAUCUACAAACUAAACUUCAAAAUUUUGUGUUGAUAGAACUUUGUUUUUAUAUCUAAUGUACACAAGGAAAAGACAGUAACAUAGGGUGCUUUAUGGAUUCUGCUGUAUAAAUCUGAAUGAAAACAAACGCAUCAUGACAUAUUCUUCUUAGAAGCUGCUUCUGUUAAUAAUUUCAAGUUUAAUCUGGUUCUUCUAAAUCACCUAAGUAGUUGUGUCUAAUUACACAAAUACUGAAAUUGUUUUGGGUUUUUCACAGCUUAUCCUGUUUCUCUGACAAUUUGAUGUCCUGAGAAAAACACUGGAAUGCACCCAGCUUGCCCAGAUCUAAGGUCCUUAGGUCUUCUGCCCACAUGAUGUUAAGUACUCCCUAAAGACAAAGCCUGCACGAGUCUUCAACACAGACUCUGUUGCCCUUAGACUCAUUAUAAGGAGUGUUGAAAAGCUAGUAACUGUCUCUUGAGAAUGGAGAAGGACAGGUUGCCUCUUUACUUUUUAGCUCUGGAGAGAGAAUAAGAAUGCAAAAAAAAAACAAAUCUUUCCCUCCAAAUUGCAUCUCAAGUGGAGAGUCCUUCCGCAGAGUCUUUUUUUGAGAAGAUCUGCAAAAUAAUAUAAGUGUUUUGAGCAUCUUUUUCAARUGCUCUAAAUGUUCUGAAAGGGCUGUCUGAGGAUCUCUAUCUUUUUUUUUGCUUCUUUUUUUCUUUAAGAAGUAAGCACAGUGAAAAUGAAUUAUGUUAACCUUCUACUUAAAGAAGAGAAAUUGAAAAAAGCUAAUUUACUGUCUGUACUGUUCUUGUCAUUUUAUCAAACUUGAUUGCUCAUUGUGAGUAAUUCUU